GUGAGGAAUAUUGGUCAAUGGGCGGGAGCCUGAACCAGCCAAGUCGCGUGAAGGAAGAAGGAUCUAUGGUUCGUAAACUUCUUUUGCAGGGGAAUAAAGUGCAGGACGUGUCCUGUUUUGUAUGUACCCUGAGAAUAAGGAUCGGCUAACUCCGUGCCAGCAGCCGCGGUAAUACGGAGGAUCCGAGCGUUAUCCGGAUUUAUUGGGUUUAAAGGGUGCGUAGGUGGUUUGAUAAGUCAGCGGUGAAAGUUUGCAGCUUAACUGUAAAAAUGCCGUUGAAACUGUCGGACUUGAGUGUAAAUGAGGUAGGCGGAAUGCGUGGUGUAGCGGUGAAAUGCAUAGAUAUCACGCAGAACUCCGAUUGCGAAGGCAGCUUACUAAGCUACAACUGACACUGAAGCACGAAGGCGUGGGGAUCAAACAGGAUUAGAAACCCGUGUAGUCC
rnacentral:rRNA from 1 species